rnacentral:lncRNA from 1 species
CCUUCUGCUCUGAGUCCUUUCUCACUGCUGAUGGUAAAGUGUCCCAAAACAGCACUCAGGACAGCCUCCUUGAGUUUGGCACAGAUAUUUCAACUCUGUUUUAGCAGCUCUUUGUUCCUUUGGUUCAUUUUGCUUCAUUACAUACUACCCUACUCAAAUGCCACUCUCCUGGUCUACCUCUGGAAAGCUUUCCUCAGCUCUUUAAAAUUAUGGAAGUCUUUAUCUCCUUAACCUUCCUUCAAAUACUUCCAUUUAUCUCAGUACUAACACUUAAUUCUAGGAAUUGAAUAAGAAUUAUCUAUUACCUAAGGCGGUUCUUCAAACAGGCAGUGGCUGUGCUUCUUGCCCCUGAUAAUUUCACUUCACGUAACUGAUCAACUCUGGAUUCAGUGGAAAGUCCAGGCGGCUACAGUCUUGUUUCUAUUAUAUGGGGUAAGAUAAUUGCUUGACAACCAAUUUGUUUUUUUAAUAUGAGCAUUUUUAAUAUAAUUAUUUCAUGGUCGUUUGAGUUGAAUUAGCAAGUACAUAGUGUGCAAUGGGUACUAAUUAUUUUCACUUUCACUUUUUCUUCAUAUUAUUAUGUACAGAUUGACUACCCAAUACAUCACGGUAAAAAAUAAAAAUGCACAAAAAUAGCUAUUAUAAUUCAGACCAAAUUAAUUGCUACUAGAGGUCUUUCACAGACAUAACAGAUAAUGAUAGUAAUAUCUAAUAUUUAUUUAGUACUUAACCCUAUCCUAGAAGCAAUUUUAAACAUUUCACAUGUAUUGAAUCACUACCCUGACAAGAAUCCAGUGAUCUUUUUAUUAUGUCUCUUUUGCAAAAAAGAGACAUCCAAUACUCUUCACAAUUUGGAUAAAUGCUCAGACAAAUACAGACUAUUUUUAGAUGCAUUUUAGUGAUUCUAUUGCUGUCAGGAUACUCAUAAUUUGGUCAUCAAGUUCAAACUAUUCUUAUAUUCUAGGGCCCUAUUACCUUUUUGUUGCUGUUGUUAUUUCUUUCUGCAACAAAAUUGUCUCACAUAAGAAAUCAUGCAUAAGCUGAAUUUUUCCCAAUAGCUUUAAAGUUUUCUCUUAACAGUAGUACCAAGUCUUGGCUAAACUAAUUCGUUUAUUUUCUGGGUUACUGUUCAUCCUGUUCUCGUUCUUCCUCAUCAAAUUAACUCUGCAUUGAUGUUCAGGGUGCUCUGAUAUUACGGUUGUCUUCAUUGUAACAUUUUGACCUCUUAAUUACUCUGUAUACUUAUCAUAAGCAGCAAAGGAGGCAGGAGAAGAUGAAUGAAUCUGGCACAUUCCCUUAAUUUACUUUAAUUUGUACCUCUCUCUCUUUUUUUCUCUUCUGCUAAGGUGAAGGCUGUUCACUUGAUUUAGCUCAAUUCUUUUUUGCUUUUCUUGAACAUACCCCAUACGUGACAUAAAUGUUAUCAUUUCCUCAUGAAUUUCCCCAAAUCAUACCAGAAACAAAAAAGCCUGCUUUAUUUGACAUCUACUGAGACAUGUGACACUAAUUAUUUAUUGCAUGGUACUUAAGUAAUAGAAAUGCUUGCAAAACUUGAAGGAAAAAAGGGGAUGGGCUAUAAUAUCAGCAUAUUUAUAGACAAAAUUUCAUGUUUUAUACACAGAAAUUGAUGUUUUUGUAUUUGAAAGAAUUAUUAUUUACUAUAGGUUGUUUUGAUUCUUACUUACCAAGUGAUUAUCUCAUUAAAUUCUUUUAUCUCUGAGGAAAAAAUGGCAUUCCAUGUUUUGAAUGAUGUCAGAAUUUUAACUUCAUUGCCAAAGAUUAAUGAAUUUUAUCACAAAAUCAGCUCACAUGAAUCCUCAUUCUAGGACUUUCCUGUUUUCCUUAUAGAAACAAGCAUUCUCUCCUGAUCUUUGAAACUAAAAUAAAAUAAAAUCAUCUCUGGCAUUUAUGUUGAAUAGUGCUUUUGUUUCCUACCCCAAAGUUGUAUAUCCACUGUGGUUCUGGGGAUGUUAAUUUACAUAUAAGCUUUCUGUUUAAUUUCCAAGUGACAUUUAAAGUAUAUUACCUGGGAGAUUACAACCUCAAACCUCCCUUUCAUACUUUCUAAGGGAUGAGACAGCUCCCAAAAGAAAAGCUGGCCAAGUUAAUAGCUGAAAAUGAUUCACCUCCUCUCCAUCCCUUAAAAAAAAUGUUUAUUCUUCAAUAAUAAUCUGAGGAGUUUGAGUACAAACCAAGAACCUACUUUUGUUCAGGACUGACACUAUAAUCAUAUCCUUUAUGUCGAAACCAAAUCUAAUGAAGCAUGAGAGAAUAGGGUCUGAACAGAGGUAAAAUUAGAAAAUAUCAAAUAAGUCUAAGACCAGGGAAAUCAGAACCAAGUUUUGAGGUUUGGUUGACUACAAAUUAACUGUCUGAAAAGUGAAUGGAAAACUCCCUGCAUGCUACUGUAAAUCUGAAUGACAUCCCACCCCACUAGGAUCCCUUAUCUGCUUAGAGUAUGUUUUUAAGUUUCUGUUUGUUUAAAAUACAUACUUAUUGCUAUUGCUAUUUAAUUGCAUUGCCAUCAGAUGAAGUAAUAUAGAUUUGAAGAAAUUUAAUUUAUAAUGGAAUAUGUGAUGCUUAAAAAUUAAUCUUUGUGUGCGUAAAUGAAAUGCCCACUCAACAGUCACUUGUUCAAGUGAGUUAUACCUUUCCAUGAGAUCCCAUUGAAUCUAUAAACUUCUAUUUCCUCACAAGAUUAAGAUUUGUAUAGGUUCCUCGUGUACAGAGAUGUCAUCAAUAGUAUUGAUAUUAAUUUUGUUUCGUUUUUUUUUUUUUUUCUGACACUAAUACAAUAUAAAUGAUACUGGCCUGAUCAUUCUUUACCCUUUCCUUUUGACCAUUCAGCAUCUUAUUGCUUAGGUAUAUCUCUUUAAAAUAUUGCUGGAUUUAAAAAUCUAGUCUGAUAGUCAUUGUCUUUUAACUCAAUAAGUUAUAUCAAUUAUGAUUACUUACAUAUCUGUGUUCAUUUCUCUGGUCCUAUAUCUCUUUUGGACAUGUUAAUAUGUUUUUUUUGUUGUUGUUGUUUUUAAUAGCCACGCUUGUGGCAUACAGAGGUUCCCAGGCUAGGGGAUGAGUCAGAGCUAUAGUCACCAGCCUAUGUUACAGCCAUAGCAACACCAGAUCUGAGCCACAUCUGUGACCUACACCACAGCUCACGGCAACACUUGGCAUCCUUAACACACUGAAUAAGGCCUCAGAUCAAACCUGUAUGCUCAUGGGUACUAGUCAGAUUUGUUUCCACUGAGCCACGAUGGUAACUCUAUCCCCUCCUAUUUUUUUUUUUUAAGUAAAGUUUGAUUUUUUCUCAUUUUGUUUCCCCCCCAAAAAAAAAAUCUUAGAAAUUUUCACUUUUGUCAUUGCUAUAGAAAUUUGUCACAUGUGUGAUGUAAUCCAACUUAUUAUUGAAAAACAGGGUGAAUUUUUUUUCUCCAGCUUCUGUUGCAAUCCUUACAGUUUAAGGCAUACCCCCCCCACCCCCGUAGAUAUUGUCACUGGCUUAGAUCUUGAUGGUGGUAGCAGACACUGUAACAAGAAGUUUAGAGAAUAAAGUGUAGAAGGGUUCCAUGUGAAUACCAAUUGAUGAGAAGUCAGUCAGUUCCAAGAAAUGGACUCCUUUAAUUCCGUAAGAAUAAUGGGAUUUGGAAGUCGUUGAUGUCAAUGACCUCAAGUCUCUGCUGGAGACAGUGUGGCUCAGGCCUGUGUUAGAGUGGUUCCAGUGGGAACACAGGUCCACUCUGCUUAUUUCCAGAGCUCCUAAAUGUACAACUAAAACAGACAUUCUUGGUGACUAUUAGGAUCCUUGCGGUGGCUUUCUGAUUCUUACAAUACCAAAGUGUAAGCCCAUGGAAUGUAAUUUCCCCACCUGUAUAAUAUAGCCAAAAUAACAACACGUCUGAUGGCCAUGCAUAGAUUAAAGUCACCGAAAAACUUGGAGGAUACAGAGGCAUUAGUUUUUAUUACAUGGUCUUCUCAAUUCACCGGUUUAGCCUGAAGGUAGCUAUAUCUUAGACACUGACAAUGGACAUUUAUAAAUUACUUAAGUGAUGACUUCAACUGUUUCUCCUAUUUCAGAUUCAGUAAUCUGAUGGAGAAAAAUUUCUAAUCAGUGUUUAGGGAUCCAGGGCUCUGAGGUAUAAGAGCAUAGACACUCCCAAUCAAAAGACAAGGUAGUAAAUCAACCGCCACAAAGAAGCUUGGUGCUCGAAAGGUCUUUUGAAUUUAGAGGGCAACACAAAGAGCAUCUAAGUAUAAUGCUCUGAGAUAUUAACUGAGAAAAACAAAAGACCACUGGUUUUGAGGGAGAUUCAAUGGAAGAGAAAGAUUUACACGUUCAGCCUGCUGUGAAAAUUGCUUUGCUAUUUGUGCCCAACAACCCAGAAGACCAAGGAGUGAUGCUAUAUGGAGCCUUAAUAAAGCCCAGAUAUGACUUUUGGAUACACAAAGCUCUGGAGCAAUGCAUUACACUUUCCUGUAGACAACUAUUUACUUUUUUGGAAAUAAGUACCAACUAUAUUGUAAGGCCUAGUAGAGGUCAAAAAACUGAACAUAGGACAUCAAAUGAACAUGUUCUGUGAACUGAUCAUCAUGAUUCAGGUUUUAUCUUAUCCACCAAGUUUGGAAGUGACUAACAGCAAUAAACCAUCAAGUCAAAACGAUAUCUAAUAGGUUGGGUUUGAACAGGUCUAGUAGGCUCAAGGGAUUUUCACGAAGCUCUUUUAACCCAGUCAACACCUGAGGCCUUAUGAGGAGUUGGUUGAGGAGGAAAGGCAUGAUUGCAUCUCUUUGCAUUUAGUCAUACAAGAAAAUUCGGCAUCGAUUGAACAUGGAAUGUUUAUACCCUUAAAGCCUCAAACAUGAAGACCCCCCAUAAGACAGAGGUUAAGAAAAUCUUCUCAGUUAUCAAAACCUCAACCAAUGCAUUUGGUUAUCUACCACAUUUUAGGAGUGUGCUGUUAAUAAUAAACUACUUGAUAUUUUUCAGACCCCUAAAGUAUAUCAUUAGAUCUCCAGUGUCAAUAUAUAUAUUUAGAAAAAGGAAGAAAUAAGAUACUUUUUAUUUCAUUUGGAAUACUCAUUCAAAAUAAAAUGUCAAACUAAGGCAGACGAGAAAGCUAUGCAAAAAGAAUAGAAGAAGAACAAACAUGAAAAAAUAAAUUAAAACUGCUCAAAUAGGGAGUUCCCUUGAGGCUCAGCAAAGUUAAGGAUCAGACAUUGUGUCUCAGGUUACUACUGUGAUGAGGGGUCAUCUCUGG